UAGCGGCGAGUGAAGCGGCAAAAGCUCAAAUUUGAAAUCUGGCACCUUCGGUGUCCGAGUUGUAAUUUGAAGAUUGUAACCUUGGGGUUGGCUCUUGUCUAUGUUUCUUGGAACAGGACGUCACAGAGGGUGAGAAUCCCGUGCGAUGAGAUGCCCAAUCCUAUGUAAGGUGCUUUCGAAGAGUCGAGUUGUUUGGGAAUGCAGCUCUAAGUGGGUGGUAAAUUCCAUCUAAAGCUAAAUAUUGGCGAGAGACCGAUAGCGAACAAGUACAGUGAUGGAAAGAUGAAAAGAACUUUGAAAAGAGAGUGAAAAAGUACGUGAAAUUGUUGAAAGGGAAGGGUUUGAGAUCAGACUCGAUAUUUUGUGAGCCUUGCCUUCGUGGCGGGGUGACCCGCAGCUUAUCGGGCCAGCAUCGGUUUGGGCGGUAGGAUAAUGGCGUAGGAAUGUGACUUUGCUUCGGUGAAGUGUUAUAGCCUGCGUUGAUGCUGCCUGCCUAGACCGAGGACUGCGAUUUUAUCAAGGAUGCUGGCAUAAUGAUCCCAAACCGCCCGUCUUGAACCACGGAACA
rnacentral:rRNA from 1 species